GAGUUUGAUCCUGGCUCAGGACGAACGCUGGCGGUGUGCUUCCACAUGCAAGUCGAACGGAGUAGCAAUACUCAGUGGCGGACGGGUGAGUAACACGUGGGAAUCUACCAUUAGGUGGGGAAUAACAGGCCGAAAGGACUGCUAAUGCCGCAUAUGUAGGCAUCUCGACAGAGAUGUUUAUGAAAGGAGUAAUCCGCCUUUUGAUGAGCCCGCGUCCGAUUAGCUAGUUGGUAGGGUAAAAGCCUACCAAGGCGACGAUCGGUAGGUGGUCUGAGAGGAUGAUCACCCACAAUGGGACUGAGACACGGCCCAUACUCCUACGGGAGGCAGCAGUGGGGAAUUUUACGCAAUGGGGGAAACCCUGACGUAGCGACACCGCGUGAGCGAAGAAGCCCUUUGGGGUGUAAAGCUCUGUCAACAGGAACGAAACAAAUGACGGUACCUGUGGAGGAAGCAUCGGCUAACUACGUGCCAGCAGCCGCGGUA
rnacentral:rRNA from 1 species